rnacentral:sRNA from 2 species
AGCCGAUAUUGUUGUGGUGGGUGGGCCAGCUUUGCCUUGCUGACUCUCGUUUCCGCAGCGCAGGGCAUUGAGUCAAGCGGUUCCUGAUCAGGAGGCGUGAUAAUCAUCAUGUUUCGCAGGAUUUGCUCUCCGUUUCGAUGCAAUUGAGCUGAGGAGUGACCAAUGAGUAACCAUCGUGGUCUGGCGGUUUUACCUGCAACCUCAACCACAUCUUUCCCCAUUUUUAAUUCAUGGCUACAUCCCGCUGGAAUACUUCUAUAAAUUGAGCCCUUUUUAGAUGCUUCAUCCAAAAACAAAGAAUCAAAUUGAGCAUAAGUUUGGCCUGUGCUUCACUCUCAAUGGCACCACGUAUUGUGAGAGUGGACACGCGACACGAAGCAAGAGUGCAUUUGAUGGUGCACACUAAAUUUGAGCCACCGUCUAGUAACGACUGAGGAAUGAAAGAUAAGAUGAAGG